AAAUAACACUCUGUGAAGCCGUGGUCUUCUUGCGCGGGAUAGGGCACCUGAGGAAGCGGGCUGCGCCUGUGGCACAGUGGUACGGGGCCGGAAGAUAACUUACCUGAAGAGGCGAUCAAUCCCUGAGAAUCGCGGGCGACCCGUUUUUUGUGUGCCCGGGUGCGGGGUGCCGGGACACGGCGUUGAAGGCGCUGAGCGGAGGGAUCUCAGGGCGAGCUCGAGCGGCGACGGCGCGCUCUGUGAUUGCACCGCGAGCGCCUGAGGUGAUCUCGGCCUACAUCGCGUCAGCGGGGCCUUGGGCGUGAGCACCGCCCCCUGUCCGGACGCAGGGUACUGGGGCACCUCGAACUGUGGCACCUCACCCUUCUCCGGGGCCACGUCUUGGGGACUCCGACAGCCCCAAAUAAGCCCUCGGGGACUGGGGUUGUGAAAAGCGAGGUCGUGAAGACGCCGGCCUCAUACCGAAGGGUAGGACGGUGAGGUCAGCCCCGUCCCACUCCAACUAAAAUCAACCUGACAGGAGGUGGUUCAGGAAAACGGUCCCAUUUGGCACCUCAAGUCUAGGUCCCUCAAGUCUCUACAACAGUAUGCAAAGAAAAUGUUCAUCUUCAUUCUUCUUAUAGUUUUCUGGUAACUUACUGAACCAAGCGCACACACACUCUCCAAGGACAAACAUUUUUCAGUGCUGGGACAAUGCAAAUUCAGCUCUCGGCAGACUACUACACACUGUGCAUGAUAUACCAAGACUAAAAGACUCAUAACCUACCCGCAGAAAGAGUGCAUCUUCCAUAGUAGCUCUGCAAAAAGAUCCAAAAGAAACUGUUAAUGGCCUGGCUUAAGUCAAAUUGUGUCCGGAAUUGGUGGGUUCUUCGUCUCACUGACUUCAAGUAUGAAGCCGACCCUCACGGUCAGUGUUACAGCUCUUAAGAUGGCGCCUCUGGAGUUUGUUCCUUCUGAUGUUCGGAUGUGUUCGGAGUUUCUUCCUUCUGGUGGGAUCGUGGUCUCGCUGGCUCAGGAGUGAAGCUGCAGACCUUCGCAACUUCCUUCCAGAGGAAGAUGUUGACUCUAAUGUAUUCUGUCUAGGAUGUGUUUCAUAAAUCUGGUUAGAAGAUUUCCCUUCCAGCAUCAACAAAUUGUUUUCUAAAUGUGGAAAAAGAGACAUUCAGUACAGGCUAACGUAACGUGGGACAGCAUGCAAAGCCAUGAGAAGUGGGAAAAUGAGAGAGAAUCUGGGCGUGGCUUACAGGGCUGCUGAAGUAAGACACACCCUUCGCUUCACCUGUGGCCUCCCGCGGCGGCUGCGGCUCCUUCGCAGGACCGGUAGGGGGCGCGCGCGGUUGAGUCCAGCAAUUGCGAGGACCUCCGCAGGCGCAGCCCAGCACUGACGCCUCUCCGGGCCGUGGCUCCUCUUUCCCAGGCCGAAAGCGGCCGGGCCCUCUGCUCCGCUGCGCCCUGGCGCGGCCGCACCCACUGCGCGUUUGUGAGCUGGCCAUCGGUCACACUGGGAUACUCGAGGAGGAGGCCUGGGGCCUGCAUUCAAUUCCCUAAGAGGGACCCGCGCUGGCCGCUGCAGGCGGGUGGAGAACGGGCGUCUGAGUCUUUGGCUUUCGUACCGGAAUCUCCCCGGGAGAUUUUACAAGCCCCUCCGAAUGUUCUGAUUGAAUUGGUCUGGGGGGGUCGGUCCGGGCAUCUAACGAGCAGCCGGGAUGGAGAAUUACUAGUCUGGAUUCUGGUCCUCAGAGGUUCACUCACGUUAAUCAACCCGAGUCCAUCUUGGUGGGAUUGUCUUGCUCCGAGGCCCUCCCACUGAGCUUUAUUUUCCUGCCUGAUUUCGGGGUCCGCUAACAGGAUGAACAGCGGACCAUACAGGCACGGUGAAAAUGACACUUGGUGACGUGGAAGACCCAGCUUGCCACAGUUGAGGCAGAGCUCCUCAGGGUCUUUUGUCUUAGUUAUCCCCGAGCUAUUUUUCAGGAACCGACAGGCUCCCCCACCCCAACACCGGAUGAAGGCCAGCAACUGGAGGCCAGGAAUAAUCAAGCACGCUCUCAUUUCAAAGAGGUGACGAUUGUGCCCGUGUUUAAAAGGGAUGCCUGAGACCAUGAGGAUUUGGAGUUUUGGAGGCGGAUCUGCCUUUGGGGAGUGAGCGUAGGGCCCUAAGAUGUGGUUGUGCUUUGAGACAGUUCCCAGGGUGAUGUGUCCCAUCAUCCAAACAUUGCAGGAUAAGUCAAAGUUACAGAAAGACUCUAGUUUACUUCCAGCCUAACAUUACCAAAAUACGGUAUUUGUCAGAAAACAUGUAGUAUUUGUAUAAUUUGAGAAUGUAAUUGAAGAACCCGAUAUAGAGCUUUUAGAAAGGGGAAAUAGAAAACUUAAAAAGAAUCUUGCUUGGUAUAUUAAUACCAACAUCUAAAAUAUAAUAAAAUUGAAUAAACCAGUGAGUUUUAUACUAUGAUUGAAAUAAAAUGCCACUAUGUUCUUAAGAGUGCUAGUUUAACAGGAAAUCUCCAAUGCAUUAUUAUCUAGACUCAUCUCAAAGGCUCACUUUUCAUUUGCAUGGGCCCUUGCUAUUUGUAGGGUAGGAGGCAGCACCUCGUUCUGGUGGCUGCCACCUUCAUGAGGAGACACUCCUUGUUAACAGGAUGGUUAGCCCACGGCUCUUCCCAGCCCCCUUUUCCACACCCAGUAAAUUGUUUUAGUUUAUGGCCCUCAGCUGCAGUUGCAAUCAUCAUCAAAUUCCAGUUUUGAAUUUAAAGGUGAAUAAUGAAUGCAAUGAACUUUCUAGAAUUUAUGAAGGGCAGUGAUGUUCCUUUUUAUCUAAUAAUUCUACAUGUGUAGCCUUUCAGUAUGCUAUUCUGUGGACUGAAUUUACAAAUUGUCAUUUGUUUAAUGAACUGUUAAUAUAACAUGAUGACUAACUGAAAACACAUACAAUUUGCUGGUAUUCCAGAAGUCUAUGGAUUUCGUUGUUUUGUUUAAAUAAAAGGCAUUAAAAGCAAAAAAAAAAAAAAAAA
rnacentral:lncRNA from 1 species